rnacentral:rRNA from 1 species
AAAUUAUUUCAAUUUUCUUUUACAAUACUAUUACACUAUAAUUAAAAUAAUUUUUUUUUUAAAAAAUACUAAAACAAAUAUUUAUAUAAUUAUUUUUAAUAAUUUAAAAUUUUAAAAUCAAUAUAAAUUAAUAAAUAUAAUAUAAUCAAUUUAUAUUGAUUUGCACAAAAAUCUUUUCAAUGUAAAUGAAAUACUUUACUUAAUAAGCUUUAAAUUGCAUUCUAGAUACACUUUCCAGUACAUCUACUAUGUUACGACUUAUCUUACCUUAAUAAUAAGAGUGACGGGCGAUGUGUGCAUAUUUUAGUGCUAAAAUCAAAUUAUUAAUCUUUAUAAUUUUACUAUCAAAUCCACCUUCAAUAAAUAUUUCAAAUUUAUAUUCGUAUAAAUAAAUUUAUUGUAACUCAUUUCUACUUAAACAUAAGCUACACCUUGAUCUGAUAUAUUCUCUUUUUAAAAAUUAUGAAAAUUAACAUUCUUAUAAAAUAUUCUAAUAACGACGGUAUAUAAACUGAUUACAAAUUUAAGUAAGGUCCAUCGUGGAUUAUCGAUUAUAGAACAAGUUCCUCUGAAUAGACUAAAAUACCGCCAAAUUUUUUAAGUUUCAAGAACAUAACUA